GAAGGUUCGUACGUGACCUGCGGAAGGAUCAUUAACGAGUUUGAAAGGGGUUUGUAUGCUGGCCUUCCGAGGCAUGUGCUCGCCCUGCUCAUCCAUCUACACCUGUGAACUUUUUGUAGCUCGGGAUGUAUUGGAGGUCAGUGAUGGCCGACAGUGUAGUCCGUUCUACGAUCUUUACACACACACUUUAAAAGUUUAGAAUGUAUUCUUGCGAUUUUAAAACGCAUCUAAUACAACUUUCAACAACGGAUCUCUUGGCUCUCGCAUCGAUGAAGAACGCAGCGAAAUGCGAUAAGUAAUGUGAAUUGCAGAAUUCAGUGAAUCAUCGAAUCUUUGAACGCACCUUGCGCUCCCUGGUAUUCCGGGGAGCAUGCCUGUUUGAGUGUCAUGAAAUUCUCAACUCUACCAUUUUGUAAUGAAAUGUUUGUAGAGCUUGGACUUGGGGGUUUUGCUGGCGUGAGUCAGCUCCUCUCUAAAUGUAUUAGCUGGAUCUAUUGAUCAAUGAUCCUCGGUGUGAUAUUUGUCUACGCCGUGUUUGGUCUGAUCAGACCUUGAGUGCUACCGAUCGCAAGAUUUUGGGAACCCGGAAGAAAAAAAUAAACCUCCUAUCCUCCUCUCUUCCAUGGGGAACAUAAUAACUGAACUUCUGACUCCAAUUCAGGAAGAAUAACCCCUUAAAUUUAACCAAUUAUAA
rnacentral:rRNA from 1 species